rnacentral:lncRNA from 10 species
CAUUUAUUAAAUGUCUUUAUUACUUAACUGUUGGUUGGUAUUUUAUGAUUUUCAGCUUAUCUUAACUGAUAUGGAUAUAAUUACUAAUGCUUGUGAGAAUGGAUGAGCCCUGAGAAGGGGGAAGAGAAAGACAAAGCCUGGAAACUUCUUUUAGCAGAUGGAAACCUUUUGCUAAUUAAACCUUAAGGUUUUUAAUCUUAAAAGCUACACAGAAAACUUGUUUUAAUUUUGAAAACAUAAUACUCCUCCUCCCCCAACACGCGCACCGGACAACCUCUCUCCUUGAACCACUCCGGGUGGUUCAAAUUCCAAAGAGCAUAUGUUUCAAAUGAAAGGUCAAAAAGGAGAUCGGUUUCAGUUUGGAGCUAAGGGAGAGUGAUUAUUUCUCUAAUGUGAGCUGCUUCCUGUUGCUAAAACACUGCCCCUUCAAAUGAGAUUGUUUGCUAAGUGAGGCAUCUCCUUCCUCUUUCUUCCUUGGAUGAAUUAGCAAGCAAGAAGAGUCAGUCUGAGGCUCCUCACUGUGACGGACUGAGGAGCUUUAUUUACUCCCUGCGGAUAGUGGCCUGCCACCAGAGAGGCCACAGGCCGGAGUGAUGGAGCUGACUCAUAGGGUAAGGAGAAAGUGGCCUGGAUCGUUGACAGAGGCUCACUGUGGUUCCAGCUCCCAUAAAGGAAUCUCUCAGUCCCUGGCUCUGGCCACACCACUGUGGUAGAUGUGAGGUACUCAGGUCCUCUUUAAGGAAGGACUUGCUGCCCAACGGCAGGUGCUGCAGCCAGCAUCCAGCUGUCAGCCCCUACAGGGUCAGCCUUACUUGCAGAGAACCACCUUGCUCGAGGUCAUGCCCUUCCUGAAGCAGCUGGCAUCCGGUGAGUGGAAGAGGUGGGGUGUUGAAUGCCCUGCCAUUCUGGCUUGUUGGAGGACACAGGUGGGCUGAGGUUUCAUUGGGUCUGCAUAACUGUGUGGCUUCUGCCUCUGCCCAUUCUGUUGCUUCUCCUUCCCCUUCCCAGAUGUUGACCCCUCAUGAACACCUUGCACUCCAGUAUAUUUCUAAGUGCUUCUGAGAGCCCGGCCUGCAACACCACUUCUCCCCUCUGCCUCCAGCCUAGAGAUGGGAAUGGCUUCCUGCUGGUGCUAAUCUCUAGGUGGCCUCACCAUGUCCCAUUUGGACACUCUGCUCUUGCAUCAUCCAUGUAAUCAAUUAACUGCAUUAAAUCCCCAUCUCUUUAAAUAAAGUAGGUUCUGACACAGCCAACAUUAUACUGAAUGGGGAAAAGUUGAAAGCGUUCCUCCUGAGAACUGGAACAAGACAAGGAUGUUCACUUUCACCACUUCUAUUCAACAUAGUACUGGAAGUCCUAGCCAGAGCAAUCAGACAAGAGAAGGCAAUAAAGGACAUCCAAAAAAGUAAAGAGGAAGUCAAACUGUCACUGUUUGCUGAUGAUAUGAUUGUAUACCUAGAAAACCCUAAGAACUUAUCCAAAAAGCUCCUAGAACUGAUUAAUGAAUUCAGUAAAGUUUCAGGAUACAGAAUUAAUGUACACAAGUCAGUAGCACUGCUGUACACCAACAGUAACCAAGCUGAGAAUCAAAUCAAGAACUCAGCCUCUUUUACAAUAGCUGCAAAAAAUAAAAUAAAAUACUGAGGAAUAUACCUGUUACCAAGGAGGUGAAAGACCUCUACAAUGAAAACUAUAAAACACUGCUGAAAGAAAUCAUAGAUGACACAAACAAAUGGAAACACAUCUCAUGCUCAUGGAUGGGUAGAAUCAAUAUCGUGAAAAUGACCAUACUGCGAAAAGCAAUCUACAAAUUCAGUGCAAUUCCCAUCACAGUAUCACCAACAUUCUUCACAAAGCUGGAAAAAGCAAUCCUAAAAUUCAUAUGGAAUGAAAAAAGAGCCCGCAUAGCCAAAGCAAUACUAAGCAAAAAGAACAAAUCUAGAGGCGUCACAUUACCCAACUUCGAACUAUACUAUAAGGCCAUAGUCACCAAAACAGCAUGGUACUGGUAUAAAAUAGGUACAUAAACCAAUGGAACAGAAUAGAGAACCCAGAAAUAAAGCUGGAUACUUAUAGCUAACGAGUCUUCAACAAAGCAAACAAAAUAAAGUGGGGAAAGGACACCCCAUUCAACAAAUGGUGCUGGGAUAAUUGUCAAGCCACAUGUAGAAAAAAUGAAACUGGAUCCUCAUCUCUCAUUUUAUACAAAAAUCAACUCAAGAUGGAUCAAAGACUUAAGUCUAAGACCUGAAACCAUAAAAAUUCUAGAAGAUAACAUUGGAAAAACCCUUCUAGACAUUGGCAUAGGCAAAGACUUCACGACCAAGAACCCAAAAGAAAAUGCAACAGAAACAAAGAUAGAUAGGUAGGACUUAAUUAAACUAAAUUACUUCUACACAGCAAAAGAAAUUAUCAGUAUAGACCACCCACAGAAUAGGAGAAAAUCUUUGCAAUCUAUACAUCUGACAAAGGAUUAAUAUCCAGAAUCUACAAGGAACUCAGAUCAGCAAGAAAAAAACAAAGAAUCCCAUCAAAAAAUGGGCUAAGGACAUGAAUAAACAAUUCUCAAAAGAUGUACAAAGGGCCAACAAACAUAUGAAAAAAUAUUCAACAUCACUAAUUAUCAGGGAAAUGCAAAUCAAAACCACAAUGAGAUGCUACCUCACUCCUGCAAGAAUGGCCAUAAUCAAAGAUCAAAAAUAAUAGAUGUUGGCAUGGAUGUGAAGAAAAGGGAACACUUUUACACUGCUGGUGGGAAUGUAAACUAGUACAACCACCAUGGAAAACAGUGUGGAGAUUCCUUAAAGAACUAAAAAUAGAUGUACCAUUUGAUCCAGUGAUCCCACUACUAAGUAUCUACCCAGAGGAAAAGAAGUUAUUAUACUAAAAAGAUACUUGCACAUGGAUGUUUAUAGCAGCACAAUUCGCAAUUGCAAAAAUAUGGAACCAGCCCAAAUGCCCAUCAAUCAAUGAGUGGAUAAAGAAAAUGUGAGGGAUAAAAGACUACACAUUGGGUACAGUGUAUACUGCUUGUGUGAAGGGUGCACCAAAAUCCCAGAAGUCACCACUAAAGGACUUAUUCAUGUAACCAAACACCACCUGUUCCCCAAAAACCUAUUGAAAUGGAAAAUAAAUAAAGUAGGUUCUGUUUUCCUGGCUAGA